GGAGCUGAUCUGUUCAAUACAAACUUGGAUUGGAGUUUUCUUUUAAAUUCUGUGAUCUGAUCAGCAUAAAAGUCCAUUAGUUGUUGUUUUUGAUUCAUUCCUAAUCACUCUAGGAAAGGGUCACACAGGGCUAUCUAGCCCUUGGAUUUUCCUGAAAAUUUCAUGAAUUAUUACUUGAUCAUAAUUUAUCCAU